ACAUUGAAGGAUGGGAGAUUGUACUUGCAAAAGGGGGUGGUGACAGAUGUGGUGGGGCCUGGGUUUUGUGAUAUAUCAAUGGAUGAGAGUGGGGAGUUGGUACAAGGAGUGUAACAGGACUUAUUGGAGACUGCGGUUCCAAAACGUAGAGGCAAAUUACUAGUUUUGUAUGGUAGGCACAAGGGCGUGUAUGGGAGUUUGCAGGAGCAAGAUUUGGAGAAGGAGAUAGGUUUAGUUCAGGAUGCCGACACACAGGAGUUUCUCAAUGUUCAGCUUGAACAAAUUGCAGAAUAUAUUGGAGAUCUGACCCAUAUUGGAUAUUGAAUUGGUUCUACUCAUUUUGAAGAUUUAGAUUGCUUGCAUGAUAGUAACGCCGUUCCAUUUUUGAGGUAAUACAAGUCUUCUGCCUUGUUGAGCAGUACAUAACAGAAUGAUAUCUGUGAUAAAUUUGCAAGUCGCCAUAUCAUUUCUUAAUCAAGCAUAGUUGCUGAAGUUUCUUUUGUCAAAGUAUAAAUCUGUUUGUGAGCUUUUAUAAUUUGAUUAAAAAUUUAUCUCAUCGAGGCAUGUGUUCACCUGAGUGGUUUAUUAUGCUGCUCUGUGUUUGGCUAUAUGUUAUGCCCUCCUAAGUUUGUAUUUUAUUUUAUUCUUUUGGCAUUAUUAAUUUCUCCAUUCAUUUAUUGUUUUAAAAAGCGUUGUAAUAUAAAUGAGGAAAAUGUGUCCUAGCCUUAGGUGUCUCAUGGCUAUCUUUUGCAUACAUAUUCUAAUAUGAUUAUGGGAUCAUAUCUCAGUCUUGGCAGAAUUAUUGAAUUGACUUUUUGAUGAUUUCCAUAAUUGCAUAAAGAGUACUAGAUAAAGAGAUGGAGAAAAUAACAUAAGUAUAUUUCAAAAUGGGUAAUUGUGUUUGAGAGGAAAUUGGUAAAGAUGAGAACGGGGAUACAGAUAAGUAAAUGGCGAUAAAUUGAGCGAGUUGAAACAAUUUUUGAUGUGUCCAUGUAUGGGGCAUGUCUCAUUUGGUUUGCUAAGCUUCAUAAGCUUCUGAAGUCAAUCGAAGAUCCAUGGAGACCUUAGUUUUGGUGUAGACAAUCAGUCCUGAGGAUAAUUUUUUUGUGAAAUGUUGACUUUUUGAAGUUUAAUUUAUCAUGAACUCUUUAAUGUUGUAGUUCAUACAUUUGAAGUUAUGAAUAAGCAAGGCCCACCUAACUAUUUCCCAUUUCAUUUAAAAUAACUAUCUCUUAUUCUGCUGCCAAUCAUGUCUUGAUGCGGUCCUGAGAGGAAGUGACAUAACUAGACUUUGAGAUGUUGCUUGAAAAUCAAUUUCUUUCCAAAUUUUAGGGCAAACGGUUAUUUUGGUAGAGUUUGUUUUAGUGAUGGAAGAAUCAUAAAAAAAAUUGAGACUUCGUUAUUACCUUUUGAUUUUGGUCAUCAACAUUGAAAUGUGUACAUAUUCCAUGUCUCUAUCUAAAGAAUGGUAUUUAAGUAUGUCUUUUGCCUAUGAAGGUUUUUCUUUUUCUCGGACGUGGGGGUUGGAGGGAGUUUAUAUUUGGUUAGUGGUAGCAGAAUUACGUGUGAUUCAUAUGCAGCACAGUAUCAAGAAAGCAUGCAAUAUAUUUUUGAAAUCAGCUGUAGAUAAUAUAGGAAUGAAUAAAGGUGGAAUAAUAUUUUUUGACUUUUUCUAAGCAGAGGCGUAAGCCUUGGCAAAGGGCACUAAGGAACUCUGCUUAAAACAAGGAAUUCCUAAGGAUUGAUAUAAUCCUUGUCAUCCUUGUAGUAUGUUUGGUACAUAUUUUUUGUAUUGGGCAAUGAUUAGAUAUCCAAAGUACUUUUUUUUNNNNNNNNNNNNNNNNNNNNNNNNNNNNNNNNNNNNNNNNNNNNNNNNNNNNNNNNNNNNNNNNNNNNNNNNNNNNNNNNNNNNNNNNNNNNNNGUGAUUUGUGCUCUUGUUUAUAUGCUACUGAUACUCCAAAGAAGAGUUCUCAUGCCCUCUGAAGUACUUGUGUUUCUGUCCCUCCACAAAACCCAGCAUUAGACGAUACGGAGCUAACUUCCAAGUCCUUCUGUUAUCAGCUACAACUCUACUGCAUCUCGAGGAUCUCAAACAGUAAGCACCAUUGGCCUCUCUCUACUAAGUGAACUUGUGGCAAAACUCCACCAUGUAGAACUACCUCACAAUGUAUCAGCUAGUCAUGACCAUUACCUUUCCUUUUUCGGCAAAGAGAAUACAAAAUGAUGUAAAUUAUCUCACUCCUAAAAGUCUCAGCAACGCCUCUUGAGUUUUCAUCCAAACACAAAAUAUCCACUCUUUUUGGCCAUUGUUAAGCCUAACACAAUAGUGUCUAAAGAUGUACAUAAAUUGCAAACUAAAAUAGUUACCGUACAGACAGAAUAUAUAUUAUAAGUGAAAACAAUAGUCAUAGGUGUGGACACUAUAUGGGUUGGAUUGGAAACCGGUUUGGGCGAAAUCCAACCCAAUACAACUAUUGAAACCGAACUAAACCAAAUUGGUUUGGGUUUAAUUCGAUUUGUUAGUCGGUUUGGACUUCAGCCCAAAUUAAAAACAAAUCCCUGUCUGCUAUUUGUUUGGCACGUGUAUUAAAAGACAUAAUGAAAACUUUUAAGGGUCUAUUUUCACCAUUGUUAUCCCACAUAUCCAAUAGUUAUGCCAACAAAAUAAUUACACCAAAAUAAAAGCAUGGCUACAUUUACCAUUGAUCCAAGGAUUUAAAAUUUAAAAUUAAACAGCAUGUUUUGUAAAUAAGAUCCACAAGCAGGGGUGGGAAAAUAAUCAGAAAAUCUACCAAUGUGAGUCGGUUCAAUUUGGAUCAGUUUGGUUCAAUUUAUUUAAAACUAUUAAGAAGUUGGGUCAGUUGCAGGUUAAGCAACCUACCCGUUUAUGCACCAACCUAAAUCAAUCAUAUAAUAUAUAUUUGAAUAUAAUUUUAAAAUGUAAUUUUUUAACUAAAAAUUAAAAAAUAAAAAUAAACAAAACCUUAUCAUCUCUAAAUUUCAAGAAGCAAAGAAAAUAAACCUUAGCAUCUCUUGCCCACCAUUGCUAGUGCCAUCAUCCAUCUUCAUUGGCCAUUGGCCAUCUCUCUUACUCGUGUCAUUUCUCGACUAUCUCGCCUUAAAGGAGUCAUCUAAUUUGACUUGAUGUUGCCUUGAAAGUCGGACCCAUUUGACGUCAUCACAAAGACUCAAGUAAGUUCCUUCUCAUCCAAAAUUUGUUAUUUUUAUCAAAAUUAGUUGCUUCUUCAUCCGCACGAUUGAUUAAUUGAGCAAAUUAUGUAGUUGACUAUGCUUUUGAGUUUUUCUUUUAUUUUUAUAGAUUUUUAGAUCUUUUAUCUUUGAAUUUGUAGUAUACUUAUUUGAAAUAAUUUUGUUUGUUAUAGUUGAUUGAUAAUUUAUUAGAUGAAGAUGUGUGUUUGAUGUUGGAUUAGGUUUCCAUUUGUUCCGUUGCAAAGUUGUGGCUACUUGCAUGUUAUGGUUGCUGAUUUUGGACUGAGAAUAUCUUUAAAUUAUGAUUGUUGAUUGAAAAUUUGGAGUAUCCAUGUCAACCAUCUUUCUACUCGUAGGUAAUUUGGUUUUGGUUUUUGAUUUUCUGGAUUCUUUCUUCUAUUUUAAUUUGGAAGAGGUAAAUGUAAUGUCCAAUUUUAUGAUCUAUGAGAUGUAUUUUUCAGUAUGUCUCGUUAGUUUGCUUGAUGUUCAGAAGGAAGAUAAGGUUAUUUAGAUAAUUUUGAUUCUUGAUUGAAACUUGAACGAUGUAGGUUGGUAAAUUUAAUAAUUUAUUCUUACUUAUCAAAAUUGCUUAUUAAAAUCAUCUUAGUGUGAGUGGUUUUAUUAAAUUAUAAUCUGAGCUGUAUAUUUUGAUUAUGAAGUUGAUUAAUAAUUUAUUCUUACUUAUUAAAAUUGUUUUUUUUUUAAAUCAUCUUAAGUGUGAGUGGUUUUAUUAAAUCAUGAUCUGAGAUUGUUUAUUUUGAUUAUGAAGUUUUUUUUUUAUACUUGUGUUUUCCAUAAGGUUAAGGACAUGUCUAUUUUAUGCAGAUUUGAAUAUGGAUAUUGAUGAUGAAUAUCAAUAUUUCGGUAGAAUCCCAACAUGUAUAGAGGGUGUUUCAUAGGGAUUAAAAUUNNNNAUUUUUUAGUAGAUUGUGAUAGAAAUUUUUGAAAUGUGUAGUUGAUUAGUUGUGGAACCACAAAGGAUGUAAUUAAUAUUGAUUAUUUGACAUUGACUUAAAUUAAAAUUAGAUUUUAAUCCGAACCAAACAAGCUUAUAUUAUCCUCCGGUUUCACCUUUAUGUUUAGAAAAGAGAAAAAUAAAGUUUUCGAAUCAUUUUACAAUAGGAGACUCAAAGCGGAAGAUUUUUAUUGUGAGCGCAUAUAUUGUGGGUAGUUUUAUGCUUGAGAGGUUAAGAAGUGCAAGACAAGUAUUUUGAAAGCUCAUUUGGUUACUCAUAUUAAGAGGUAUCCUAGAAGAGUUGAAGAUAAAAGACAAAAAUCUCAAGUUCUAAUAAACUGUUUGAGUGUGAUGCAAGCAAUCUUCUUGUUAUUUAGUUUAGCAAAGAAGCGUGUAGGUUUUAUGUGUUGAAAUGGUAAUUAUUGAUGAACUAUUCUUUUUAAUUUUAUAGAAAGAAUUUUAUUUAAGCAGUUUUGUAUCCUUGCAUGUCCUAAGUUUAGUUGUUCAACUCAUAAGAUUAAAAAUAUUUAACUACUAUUUUAGGAUGAGAAUUGGAGUUAAGAAAGAUUCAUGCUGCUCAACGUUAAACAGUUCACUUACUAUAGAUGCUUGGACAUCCAAUCAGAAUAUAAACUUGUUUUUGUCUCGUAUUUUCAAGCUUAAGAAAAAACAAGCUGCAAAAUAUUUGUUGAGAUAAAAAAUGACGCUAGAAGAUACUUGUUUUGUAAAAAUGUAGAUGACAAAUGGUUUGGUGUCUUUAAUUGGUGAGUGAUACAUGGUAGCUAGUACCUUUUCCAAACUCGCAAAAAAUGCUUAGGUGGACUAUGAGAAAUAUGUAAUUUAUAUUUUGAAUGGAUGUCCAAGUGUCUGUAAUAAGUGAUACUUUUUUGAUUUUAAGCAAUAAGGAUAUUUUUUCAACUCCAAUUUCUUAUCCAAAUAGAGUUGGUAAAUUUCUCUAAUAAUGGUCCUACGAGAUGGAGUAUUAAACCAAGGACAUGCUACACUAAAAAACUAUCCAAAUCUCAUUCCUUCGCUAAAGCUAGAAGGGGUAGUUCAUGUUACAUUUUACCACAUGCAAGUAUGCCUGCUUCCUUUUUAAAGCCAAUAGCCUAGAAGAUUGGUCCUAUUACCCUCGAGCUGUUUAAUGAGUAACCAAAUGACCUUUCAAAGUACGUGUCCUGUGCUUUUUAGCCUCACAAGCAUAAGAUUGCUCCCAAUAUUUGCUCUCAUACUUAACAUCUUCCACUUUUGGAUCCUACUAUUGCAAAAUAAUACCACAUCCAAAGUUUUCCUAUUUUUCUCUCUUCCCUAAACAUGAGGUUGAAAGUGGAGGAAAAGUUGUAGCACUUGUACAAGUAUUUGUUGUUGCUGAGUAUCCACUGGUUUUUGAAAUUCAUCAUCAAUAUCCAUAUUCUAAUCUGUACAAUAUAGGCUUGUCGUAUUAGGAAAAACCGUGGAUAAGUAAUAUAGAUGCCAAAUAAGCAGUUCAUAUCAUAAUUUAAUCAAAAUACUUGCACUACGAUGAUUUUAAUAUGAUAAAGUAAGAAAAAAUGAUUAAUUUGCCAAACUGAGACAUUUUUUAAUCAAGAAUCAAUUUUAUCUAACAGCCUUGAGUUCCUUUUGUUCAUUAAGCAAUCUAAUAAGAUAUAAUGCAAAAUCUCAUAGAUAAUACAAAACUGGAUGUUAUAUUUGCUUCUUUCAAAUUAAAACAUAAGAGACAAUCCAAGUAAACCAAAUCACCUAGGAGUUGAAAGACUGUUGACAUUGAUAAUAAAAAAUCAUAACUGGAUAUUCCUAUCAAUCUAAAAUUAGCAACUGUAAUGGACAAUCAACCACAACUUUGCAUAGGAACAAAUAGAAAGUUAAAUCCAACAUCAAACGAAAAUUUGUCUAAUAAAUAUUGAUCUGCUAUGCUAGAGGAAAUUAUUUCAAAUUAGCAUAUACAAAUUCAAACAUAAAGAAAACCUGAAAAACCUAUAUAAUUUUGGAAAAAACUCAAAAAGUAUAGUGAGACACAUCAUUUGAGGAAUUAAUCAAUCUUCGGCCAAUGAAGAAGCAACUAAUUUUGAGAAAAAGAACAAAUUUUGAAUCAGAAGGAACUUACCUGAAUCCAUUGGAAUUACGUCAAACAGCUUCAACUUUCGAGAGAACAACAAAUCAAAGUAGUUGACUCCUUCAAGGCGAAAUGGCGAAACGACCGAGAGACAGCGAGGUGAAGACGAAUAGUGACAAUGGCGGGCUAGAGACAUUGAGGUUUCUUUUUUUUAUUGUACGAUGGAUUGAGGGAGCUUUAGGUUUUUUUAAGUUAACAGUUUUGAAUUUUAAAAUUGAAUUAAAAUAUGUGUUAUCAACUUGGUUGUUUAACCUGCAAUUGAACCAUGGGUUUAUGUUAAUCAGAUUUCAUAUUCAUAUCCAGCCCAUGGGUUUAUGUUAAUCAGAUUUCAUAUUCAUAUCCAGCCCAUGGGUUCAUAUCCAGCCCGAGGUUUUUUGAGUUAUUUCCCACCCCUACUGCUAUGUAGUAAAUUGUAAUUGUAAAUUAGUGUUCACAAAAGCUGUAAUAAAUUGAAGUAGUGAACAUCUGAAGGGCCCAUAGCCAUAUGUCGUUUCAUGUUUUACAAGGAUAUGGCAUGUUAACCAAAGUGUUGGGUUAAUAUAGAUGCACCUUAAUGCUGAAGGCAUCAAGAAACAAGCUAAAAUAUUAUUGGGAAGUAAUGAAUAUACAUGCUUCAUCCGGAAAAAUAUAGGAUUAGGGUGGGGGUUUGUCCAUUAUACUGAGAAAUCUUCACUUCGGCACCGCCAGUAUCUAGUACAGAUUUUGAAAUUUUCCUGAAAGCAGUGAACUAAUCAACUGAUAUCUUUAUGAAUCAUUGACAACCUCUGCUGCGCCGAAGGACAGUUUACCUUAAUUGCUGCUUAUUCAGGCUAAAUAUUGAUUUCUUAUAACAUUUGAGCACAAUGUUUGACAUGGAAUGUUCUUGCCCCGACUUUAGAUGACGAGUUUUCAUGUUUGAAUUUUGCAUGAGAAUAUAAUGAUCUCUGAAAUUUGAACUCGUGCAUUCUGUGAUGGCAGGUUACAGAGGCAUGAAAAGGGACUGCUACCUGGUGCUUAGACUGCUGUUAAUAUUUGUCCUUGUAACAAUAUCUUGUGCCUUAAUUCUAAGCUAUGCCAAUGCCGAUGCCAAUGUCGACGAUGAUAUCUGUUAUCCAAGACUUUGAGAGGCAGGUUUGCACAGCGAACUUUCAUUUGGUCACACAUGAUCUUUACGAGUAUAUGGUCUCUCCUAGUACUGGAAUACUUGUAUACUACCCUUGACCACUUUCUAGUAAGUCGUUUAUUAUGAUUGUUAUAAGCACUUUUGAUCAUUAUCUUAAGCAUUUCAUGGAAUUACAAGUCUCCCUAGUAAAAGUAGGGACCCUUCGUCUGGGUGGGCCAGGGUGGCAUAGGGUGCCACACGUUUAGAUGAGCUUCUAAGAGGCUUUUUAAAAAGUUUAGUAGACACUUACUUUUCAAACAAGUCAUCUUAUUAGCUCUCUUUAACUUGAACGUGUUGUUCUUUUUAGAUAUGAGGGUAUUUGGAAGUGAUUUUUCAUCCAAAAAAAUUGAUUUUUUGAUCAUUAUUUUACUAUUCCAGUUGUAAAGUUUGACUUCUUCUCUUACAGGUGAUCCCAACUUUUCUCUUAACGGUCAAAAAAUCAAUUCUCAAAAUCGUUCUCAAAC
rnacentral:lncRNA from 1 species